rnacentral:rRNA from 1 species
UACGUAGGUGGCAAGCGUUGUCCGGAUUUAUUGGGCGUACAGGGCGCGCAGGCGGUUCGUUAAGUUCGAGGUGAAAUCUCCCGGCUCAACUGGGAGGGGUCUUCGAAAACUGGCGGGCUUGAGGUGAGCAGAGGUGAGUGGAAUUCUGGGUGUAGUGGUGAAAUGCGUAGAUAUCCAGAGGAACACCAGUGGCGAAGGCGACUCACUGGGCUCUACCUGACGCUGAGGCGCGAAAGCGUGGGGAGCGAACAGG